AUUGAACGCUGGCGGCAUGCUUUACACAUGCAAGUCGAACGGCAGCGCGGGCUUCGGCCUGGCGGCGAGUGGCGAACGGGCGAGUAAUGCAUCGGAACGUGCCCAGUAGUGGGGGAUAGCCCGGCGAAAGCCGGAUUAAUACCGCAUACGACCUGAGGGUGAAAGCGGGGGACCGAAAGGCCUCGCGCUAUUGGAGCGGCCGAUGUCGGAUUAGCUAGUUGGUGGGGUAAAGGCUUACCAAGGCGACGAUCCGUAGCUGGUCUGAGAGGACGACCAGCCACACUGGGACUGAGACACGGCCCAGACUCCUACGGGAGGCAGCAGUGGGGAAUUUUGGACAAAGGGGGCAACCCUGAUCCAGCCAUGCCGCGUGCGGGAAGAAGGCCUUCGGGUUGUAAACCGCUUUUGUUCGGGAAGAAAUCCUCUGGGCUAAUACCCCGGGGGGAUGACGGUACCGGAAGAAUAAGCACCGGCUAACUACGUG
rnacentral:rRNA from 1 species